rnacentral:rRNA from 1 species
AUGAACGCUGGCGGCGUGCCUCAUACAUGCCAGUCGAGCGAACAGACGAGGAGCUUGCUCCUCUGACGUUAGCGGCGGACGGGUGAGUAACACGUGGAUAACCUACCUAUAAGACUGGGAUAACUUCGGGAAACCGGAGCUAAUACCGGAUAAUAUAUUGAACCGCAUGGUUCCAUAGUGAAAGACGGUUUUGCUGUCACUUAUAGAUGGAUCCGCGCCGCAUUAGCUAGUUGGUAAGGUAACGGCUUACCAAGGCGACGAUGCGUAGCCGACCUGAGAGGGUGAUCGGCCACACUGGAACUGAGACACGGUCCAGACUCCUACGGGAGGCAGCAGUAGGGAAUCUUCCGCAAUGGGCGAAAGCCUGACGGAGCAACGCCGCGUGAGUGAUGAAGGUCUUCGGAUCGUAAAACUCUGUUAUUAGGGAAGAACAAAUGUGUAAGUAACUAUGCACGUCUUGACGGUACCUAAUCAGAAAGCCACGGCUAACUACGUG